UACGUAGGGGGCAAGCGUUGUCCGGAUUUAUUGGGCGUAAAGCGCGCGCAGGCGGUCCAUUAAGUUGGGUGUCAAAGGCAUCGGCUCAACCGGUGUUCGCACCCAAAACUGGUGAACUUGAGUGCAGAAGAGGAGAGUGGAAUUCCUGGUGUAGCGGUGGAAUGCGUAGAUAUCAGGAGGAACACCAGUGGCGAAGGCGGCUCUCUGGUCUGCAACUGACGCUGAGGCGCGAAAGCGUGGGGAGCAAACAGG
rnacentral:rRNA from 1 species